AUUGAACGCUGGCGGCAUGCCUUACACAUGCAAGUCGAACGGUAAUAGGUUUUUGGAUGUUGAUGAGUGGCGAACGGGUGAGUAAUACAUCGGAACGUGCCCGAUCGUGGGGGAUAACGAGGCGAAAGCUUUGCUAAUACCGCAUACGAUCUACGGAUGAAAGCGGGGGAUCUUCGGACCUCGCGCGGACGGAGCGGCCGAUGGCAGAUUAGGUAGUUGGUGGGGUAAAGGCCUACCAAGCCUGCGAUCUGUAGCUGGUCUGAGAGGAUGAUCAGCCACACUGGGACUGAGACACGGCCCAGACUCCUACGGGAGGCAGCAGUGGGGAAUUUUGGACAAUGGGGGGCAACCCUGACUCCAGCCAUGCCGCGUGCAGGAUGAAGGCCUUCGGGUUGUAAACUGUCUUUUGUUACGGAACGAAAGCCUCUUCCUAAUACGCGAGGGUGAGUGACGGUACCGUAAGAAUAAGCACCGGCUAACUACGUGCCAGCAGCCGCGGUAAG
rnacentral:rRNA from 1 species